UACAGAGGUCCCGAGCGUUGUUCGGAUUCAUUGGGCGUAAAGGGUGCGUAGGUGGCGGGGUAAGUCUGGUGUGAAAUCUCGGGGCUCAACCCCGAAACUGCACUGGAUACUGCCUUGCUCGAGUACUGGAGAGGAGAUUGGAAUUUACGGUGUAGCAGUGAAAUGCGUAGAUAUCGUAAGGAAGACCAGUGGCGAAGGCGAAUCUCUGGGACAGUUACUGACACUGAGGCAC
rnacentral:rRNA from 1 species